CACUCCUGCGGGAGGCAGCAGUGGGGAAUAUUGGACAAUGGGCGCAAGCCUGAUCCAGCCAUGCCGCGUGAGUGAUGAAGGCCCUAGGGUUGUAAAGCUCUUUCACCGGUGAAGAUAAUGACGGUAACCGGAGAAGAAGCCCCGGCUAACUUCGUGCCAGCAGCCGCGGUAAUACGAAGGGGGCUAGCGUUGUUCGGAUUUACUGGGCGUAAAGCGCACGUAGGCGGACUAUUAAGUCAGGGGUGAAAUCCCGGGGCUCAACCCCGGAACUGCCUUUGAUACUGGUAGUCUUGAGUUCGAGAGAGGUGAGUGGAAUUCCGAGUGUAGAGGUGAAAUUCGUAGAUAUUCGGAGGAACACCAGUGGCGAAGGCGGCUCACUGGCUCGAUACUGACGCUGAGGUGCGAAAGCGUGGGGAGCAAACAUGAUUAGAUACCCGAGUAGUCCCAU
rnacentral:rRNA from 1 species